UUUAUCACAAAAAAAUAGGCAUCGCUAAAUCUUUCAUCAUACGAAAAUAUAGGUUGUUACGUUUAAUUUGUUUUGCUUAGAUAGUAUGCUUUGAAAGCCUAAUUAGUUGUUAAGCAAACGAUGAAAAACACAACAUUCAAAUUGCAUUGCUCCGUCAAACUCGGUUCGAGAAUUACGUACAUUGCAAUCAUUCAAUGACGAUCAUCGACCGGCCAGCAGAGUCAGUGAACACGAUCACGCUGGGAGAAACUGGGGAGAUAAUCGGUAUCAAUACACAUACUCGAACAACCAGAGGCAGCUACCACACUAGGAGAUCAUACCGUGGACAAGUGAGAAGCGUCGCCACCACUACAUGAGAGCACGAGAGAAGGAAUGGAGCGAAAGAUCCGUCGGCAUCAUCAUGCUGGAGAAGUUAAGUUCAACACGGCACGCACACCAUUAAAGCCCGCCGGCAGAACAAGUGAACGAUCGCAAAGGAGUGGAGUUUAAUUGUCUUCCAUCUGUAAGCCAAACCGCGUGUGCCGUUCAGUCGGCGGUGAAAAUUUCCAUUUCGGAAUUGAACAAAGUGCGUUCGUUAGAAAACCCCUCGAAGACGGCCCACUGGAUUAGCUGAUCUUAUUCUCGACCUGUGAGCAGGUGUAGCACCCGGAAACCUGUGUAAGAAAUCGAUUGGCCAGAUGGAAGAACAACAGGCCAAAAGAAGCUAAAUCCGCGUGUGCUUUCCAAGAAGGAGGGAUUCGUCGAAAAAACAAGACCGUCUGGAUUGUCGGCCGCCAUUGCCGAAAAUCAUUCCCGAUUGGAAAUAGAUGACUGUCCACGCACGGACUCUGGAUUAAACACGCUAGGUGGAGACAAUCGUGUGAAGAGCAGGAGAAAGUCGAGAAUCAUCACCGGUCAAGCCGAAAGCCAACUCGAUCGCCAGAACUAUCCCGACAGAAGCGACUUAGACCGGAUCACGUCGCAGAGCAGAGAGCCCCUCUAGAAGGGUAAGAUUCGUCGACGUGCUGUUGAACAAAAUCAACGGAACAAGUGUAGUGAAUGGUGUGCCAAGAAGUGAGAGUGUUGUGAGUCAAGCGCCAUCAACCGGCGCAGCAGUUUCCAGCCUAACUUCACACGCGUCGGACGUACUUCUUUGCCUUUCUCGCUUUCGUUUGCAGUUUGUGGAAAAUGUGCAGUGCUCGGAAUAACACUCUAGUGGUUGACUUCAGUGUUCUCCCCAUUCGCCCUGAUGUGGCAAAU